CUUGCUAAGUUUGAUGGCGACCGGCGCACGGGUGAGUAACGCGUAUCCAACCUUCCGUACACUCAGGAAUAGCCUUUUCGAAAGAAAGAUUAAUACCUGAUGGUAUGAUGAGAUUGCAUGAUAGCAUCAUUAAAGAUUCAUCGGUGUACGAUGGGGAUGCGUUCCAUUAGAUAGUAGGCGGGGUAACGGCCCACCAAGCCGACGAUCGGUAGCCGACCUGAGAGGGUGAUCGGCCACAUUGGGACUGAGACACGGCCCAAACUCC
rnacentral:rRNA from 1 species